rnacentral:lncRNA from 1 species
CAUGUUAGAAACCUACAGGAAUGUACACAGCCAGUUGGAAGAUUGCCGUUUGUAAAACUUGGAGCUGAUAGGAGUUUCAGGAAUCGGAGCUAUCUAUCAGUUGAACUCUUCACCGAUGACAACAGUAAUGACAAGAGCACCUGGAAGUCCUGUUCUCCAAGUCAACAGAUUAGAAUGGAAGUCAGACAAAAGCAAUGCUGUGCGACCGUCCAGUUCCAACUCAGCUUUCAUGACAAGGCCUUCGUACCCCUUGGACAAAGGUGUAUUUAGAAUUUGAAUUUAGAAAUGUGCCUGUACUAAUACGAUUUCCAUCUGAUGUAAACAAGUAUCGUUCCCUCAAACAGCACUUCUCUUUAAAAUAAAUAGUAGCAUGAUAUAUUUAAGGAUUUUUUUUUUUCUGCUUUGACUAUUAGAACAAAAAACAAAGAGCUGCCUAGAUAGUCAAAAAACAGUGGGACAUCCGUUCUUGCCAGUUAAGGCAUCUCUUUAAUCACUUAGGAAGAAAAACACUGA